UACGUAUGGUGCAAGCGUUGUUCGGAAUCACUGGGCGUAAAGAGCGCGUAGGCGGAUAAUUAAGUCGGGUGUGAAAACUAUGGGCUCAACCCAUAGCCUGCAUCCGAAACUGUUUAUCUGGAGUCCUGGAGAGGCAGGCGGAAUUCUUGGUGUAGCGGUGAAAUGCGUAGAUAUCAAGAGGAACACCAAUGGCGAAGGCAGCCUGCUGGACGGUGACUGACGCUGAGGCGCGAAAGCGUGGGGAGCAAACGGG
rnacentral:rRNA from 1 species